rnacentral:rRNA from 1 species
GGCUCAGGAUGAACGCUAGCGGGAGGCCUAACACAUGCAAGCCGAGGGGUAUGAUUCUUUCGGGAAUUUGAGACCGGCGCACGGGUGCGUAACGCGUAUGCAACUUGCCUUACUGAAAAGGAUAGCCCUUCGAAAGGAGGAUUAAUACUUUAUAAUAGAUUUAAUGGCAUCAUUAGAUUUUGAAAGAUUUAUCGCAGUGAGAUAGGCAUGCGUAAGAUUAGUUAGUUGGAGAGGUAACGGCUCACCAAGACGAUGAUCUUUAGGGGGCCUGAGAGGGUGAACCCCCACACUGGUACUGAGACACGGACCAGACUCCUACGGGAGGCAGCAGUGAGGAAUAUUGGACAAUGGGUGGAAGCCUGAUCCAGCCAUCCCGCGUGUAGGACGACGGCCUUAUGGGUUGUAAACUACUUUUAUCUGGGGAUAAACCUACUUACGUGUAAGUAGCUGAAGGUACCAGAAGAAUAAGCACCGGCUAACUCCGUGCCAGCAGCCGCGGUAAUACGGAGGGUGCAAGCGUUAUCCGGAUUUAUUGGGUUUAAAGGGUCCGUAGGCGGAUUAAUCAGUCAGUGGUGAAAUCUCAUAGCUUAACUAUGAAACUGCCAUUGAUACUGUUAGUCUUGAGUGAUGUUGAAGUGGCUGGAAUGUGUAGUGUAGCGGUGAAAUGCUUAGAUAUUACGCAGAACACCAAUUGCGAAGGCAGGUCACUAAGUAUCAACUGACGCUGAUGGACGAAAGCGUGGGAGCGAACAGGAUUAGAUACCCUGGUAGUCCACGCCGUAAACGAUGGAUACUUGCUGUUGGAGUUUCGGCUUCAGUG